CAGUAGCCGCGGGAAUACGAAGGGUGCAAGCGUUAAUCGGAAUUACUGGGCGUAAAGCGUGCGUAGGCGGCUAAUUGAGUCGGAUGUGAAAUCCCCGAGCUUAACUUGGGAAUUGCAUUCGAUACUGGUUAGCUAGAGUGUGGGAGAGGAUGGUAGAAUUCCAGGUGUAGCGGUGAAAUGCGUAGAGAUCUGGAGGAAUACCGAUGGCGAAGGCAGCCAUCUGGCCUAACACUGACGCUGAGGUACGAAAGCAUGGGGAGCAAACAGGAUUAGAUACCCCGGUAGUCCCUGUCUCUUAUAC
rnacentral:rRNA from 1 species